AACGAACGUUAGCGGCGCGCCUAACACAUGCAAGUCGAGCGAGACAGGGAGCAAUCCCCGGUACAGCGGCGCACGGGUGAGUAACACGUAGGUAAUCUGCCUCUGAGUGGGGGAUAACCUUCCGAAAGGAGGGCUAAUACCGCAUGAGACCACGGCUUCGAGAGGAGCAGGGGUCAAAGCCGGCCACUAUACAUAAGCUGGCGCUUGGAGAUGCGACUGCGGCCCAUCAGCGAGUUGGUAGGGUAAUGGCCUACCAAGGGAAAGACGGGUAGCCGGGCUGAGAGGAUGAUCAGCCACACUGGAAAUGAGACACGGUCCAGACUCCUACGGGAGGCAGCAGUGGGGAAUCUUGCGCAGUGGGCGAAAGCCUGACGCAGCGACGCCGCGUGGGUGAUGAAGGCCUUCGGGUUGUAAAGCCCUGUGGAGGGGGAAGAAUAAGGGCAGCCUAAUACGCUGACUGAUGACGGUACCCCUUAAGCAAGCACCGGCUAACUCUGUGCCAGCCGCCGCAGUAAUAC
rnacentral:rRNA from 1 species